UACGUAGGGGGCUAGCGUUGUCCGGAAUCAUUGGGCGUAAAGAGCGUGUAGGCGGUCCGGUAAGUCCGUUGUGAAAGUCAGGGGCUCAACCCUUGAAUGCCGGCGGAUACUGUCGGGCUAGAGUCCGGAAGAGGCAAGUGGAAUUCCCGGUGUAGCGGUGAAAUGCGCAGAUAUCGGGAGGAACACCUAUGGCGAAGGCAGCUUGCUGGGCCGACACUGACGCUGAAGCGCGAAAGCUAGGGGAGCGAACGGG
rnacentral:rRNA from 1 species